GUCAGAGAUCGCUGAUCGGGGAUCUUCUAUAGAUCAACCUCUCAAUCAGACCUCAACCAAUGAUUACAGCUUGCCUUCUCAUGGUGAAGAUGAAGCCGGCGACGUCACAUACGCUCACAUUAAGUUCAAAAACACCAAACGGACGACCAAGUCCUCCAAACGAGGCCGAGUCCAACGCGGUACGCUGGAUACGAAAGCAGGGAGGAAUCGUGACCCAGAAGAGGGCGCUGUUUACUCCGAUGUGAGGACAGCGGCUGCAGAAGCAUUGAGUGCUGCAGCGGCUGACGCAGCGCUUUAUUCUGAAGUCAGGAAAGCCCCAAAGAAGAGAGUGAGCUAGUUGGGUUGACUAUGAACUGCAUGUUA